AUGGUUGUGAGCUCGGUGCCGGAGAGGAGCGGGAGGGCCGGGAUGGAGCAGCGGCUGCACCCCGAGGUGCCCGGGGGGAUCUGCAGCAGCUCCCCCAGGCAUCCCGGCGGGUGCUGUUCACCCCACGAGCAACACUGGGUACAUAAAGAGCCCAAAUUUCAUUCGGGGAAAGCGUGGAUAGACUCUCUGGGCAAGAGACUUUCUUUUAAACAAGUUAAAGACCAGAGUUUGGUGUAUGGGGAGAUGUUCAAGGUGCCACCCUGCCCUGUUUGUCCCACGAGAGGGGCUCCCAAAGCCACCAGCUUUGGUGGGGGACAUGAGAAACAAUCCCAAAUCCCGUGCCUAGCAUGUGCUAACAGCGGCUUCUCCUCCUUUGCAGAACGGGCAGGCAGCUCCAGAAGAAGGUGGGAAUCCUCCAUCCAAGGAGUGCACGUGGGAGAGCGAGGGACUGGAGACGGGGAAGAGGAAAGACAAACCCCUGUCCUCCUGUCCCUUUGGUCAUCCAAACACAGUGGAAGGUUUUCCAGAGCGUCACUUGGGUCCAGCACACCAGAGCUGGAGUGGAGGCUGCAGCCGAGGGCGAGCAGUGAGAACCCCAGGGUGUUUCAGAGCCAUGUUUAUGCCUCUCUCUGUGGUGUGAUCUUGCCAGCUGGGAUGAAGAGAAAUUGCUGGUUUUGGCACAGCUGCCCUUGCUGAGCGUCUGGUAUCUGUUUAUUCUCUUGUCUUGGUGGGGCUGGGAGAGGCUGCCCUCUGCAUCCCCGUUAGCAUCAGCUGGGAAUGGCUGAGCUGCCGUGUUUUGGGCAAGGAUCUGAGCCUGCUGCUCCUUCCUGAGACACCUAAAGCUCCACAGCAGAGCAGCGUGGUGUGAAGGACUGGAUUUGUCUGCUGUGAGACCUCCCCAGGUACAGGAGCAGCACGGUGCUGUCCCCUGGGCAUUUCCUGCUUGUGUCCAUUCCUCUGUCCUGCCCUCCCAGCAGAGCACAAGGGCCACGUCAGUACCGUGAAAUCAUAAUCCCUUCAGGAUUUCCUUUUGCCAUCCAGCCGUGCUCUGAGCGUGGAGAAUGACACAACACAUUGGAUUUGCCCUGGGCAGCCUUCCCGAGCAGCUUGUCAAGAGCUCUGUGCCCUCAGCGAGGGCCCUGUGGCAGCUUCUCUCUCUGAAUCAUCCUGCCCAAGGCUCUGGGGGCUUGUUGGGUUGUUUUUCCAGCUGGUUGCAUUGUAUUUUUAGUAAAAGACAUUUAAACCUAAACCCCAGUUGUCUACAUUUCAGCCAGUUGGGUUUUUUUAUCCUGGGACAUUUGUGGGUUUCUAGCAGUGCAUCUCUCCUACCUGUUGUGCCUCUCUGUCCCACUCUGGAGCUGGCCUGGCACUUCUUCAGCAGCUUGCAAAGAAAUCUUUGGGUCAGAUGAAUUCAGGUCAAUGGAACUUGCACUUCCCUCCUCUGAGAGCAGAGGGUUUAUGGCUCUUCACUGUGCCUGCAUCUCUGGCACGGGGAAAAAGGGAAUCUGUGUCUUCUGGUUGGAUUCCAGAGGGGUUUCUAAGGUUUGGGACUUUGCCUCUUUCAUCUUCAAACACUUGCCUAAGCUGCCCUCCCCUAAAUGCUGCUGAUGGAUGUUGCUUUAAAAAUCGUUUAGGAUUUUUUUCUCUUUGAAGGACACGACUGAGACAAACCCUGGCUGAUUCCAUCUGUGGGUGCCAUUCCACAGAAAGAUCAUGAGACAGAAGCCAAAAAGCACUUGAGGUUCCCUUUGCUGCUGUGUGGGAUGUGGAUGUGCAGUCCAGGCUGGAGCACAGCGCUGGGAAGUUCUCCAGCAUCCCAGAGCAGGGAAGGCACAAGAGCUCUGUGCUGCUGCAGGUGUCCUGCUUUCUGCUUUUCUGAGGCCCCGUGGCCAAAAUGCCUGUGAGCAGUGCCUGACAAUCCCAUUUUGGGUAAUUUUGAGCACCCAAAGCUCGGCUGCACGCUCCUGAAAUAACCUCGGUGGCGUUUUCCAAGUUUGUACAAGGUAUGUUUGCUACCAGCACAAAUGAAAUCUCUCCUGUAAACACAUACCUUCAGCUUGAGGGCAGCUCUGCCCUGAGAUGCUGCAGAUGGGGGAACAGGCAGCCCCCAGAAUAUCUGUGUGUGUUUGGGUUCUUUCUGUGCUUGGACAGCAGCAGCAGCUCCUGGCUCUGCCUCUGCCUCCAGCAGGAGAAGCAAGUGGCCAUCACCAUUAUCUAUUGUCAUACUGCAGGUUGUUCAGGCUCCCUCCCACACCCUUCUGUGCUGUGUGUGGAGAGCUGCAAGGGGAAGAAACACCUUUUCUCCAGGUUUGUGCUAUCCUUUUGCAGCUCAUUCUGUGAUCUCUGCUAAAAAUAACCUGAAGCUGCGACAGCGGCGAUUUCUCAACGCCCACACGCGGCCCUGGCCCUCCCGGCCCUGCCAACAGGACGGUGCCAAAGUCCAGUCCUCGUGUGCCUGGGCCAUAACCAAAGCCUCUGGAAAGGAGGAAAUCCAAGAGUUCCUCAAAAGAGUCGGGGAGUUCACAGCUGGUGCUGUCAGGCCAAUGGAGUGUGAUGCCUCUGUCACCAUCUUACCUGAAACAGGUGAAAUGGUCACAGCAGAGGGAGCAAGGGGAUGUUUUGGGCCAGGCUGGCUCUGUUCUGGCACUUUCUUGCUGCUUUUGUGGCUCCAGCUCAGCUUCCUACCCAGGACAGCUGGUGCAUUUCACAACCUGCCGUGUUUUACAGGUGCACAAGUCCCUGCAGGUCCCGUUCCUCAGGGUUUACCUUGGGAAUGUCUGCAAGGUCCUGGUGCUGCUUGGGGCUGGGUCAGAGCUCACAGUGGAUGGGAUGAGGUUGUGUUUUGAACCUGCACUGAAAACAGAGUUAAUCGUGGCCACAUCCCUAACACCAGGCUGCAGGAUGGGCACCAGGAUGGGUUUUUUUCUCAUCUUCUUUGGUGGUGGUUAAAAGCCUCUCUGGGUACAGAGCUUCGUUCUCUCUUGUGUUCUCCAAAUUUUAAUUGCCAGGUUGGGUGAAAUUGGUCCUUGUUCCUUGGGGAACAGCAACUGCAUUCAGUGGAAAAAUGGAACCUCCCAUAAUUGGGGUUUUUCAGCCUGCUCUGCAGCUAGCUGGGCUGAGGGGUGAGCCUGUGCUCCCUGGAGGUGCCAGGCAUGAGGAGUUAUACGUGGAAGUACAACACCCAAUUAGUGAAAUCACUUCAUCAUGAAGAGCAGAGGAGUGGAAUGGCAGUGCUGAGUGUGCCCACACUCUCUCUGGGGAAUGGGCUGAGGGUGCUGAUCAGCUUCCUCUGGGGUGAUAAUCACAGAGCUCCGGGAGAGCUGGGGAAGGGAAGAGCUGAGCUCUCCCAGCUCUGCACCAUAAAAGGGACCUUUGAGACGGGAGCGAGGGCUGUGCUCUGCCACAGACACCGGGCAGGAGGCGCUCCAGGCUGAGCCUGCCCGUGGCAGCGCAGGAGAGGGAGGGAUGAGGCUUUUCCCCAGCUCUGUGUCUCUCCUGUUGCUUUAUCCUGAGCAGGUCCAGCUCGCAGGCAGGUCCUUCCCUGCAGCAUCUCACGAGGGCACGAAGGAAUGCUGGGCAGGGACACCAUUCCCUGGUUGCCCAGGCCCUGUCCCAGCUGGCCUGUGAGGCUCCUGGGCCAGCACUGCCCUUGAGCUCCAGGCUGAGAGCAGGACAGGAUCCACAUCCAGUGCUGUGAUCCUGCUCAGGGCUGGACACCACUAAUCACAGCCUCUUAACGUGAAGGGUUUCAAAACAAGUGGGAGCUCUGCUCUGUGCGUGUUUGCACAGCUGCUGCUGGUUCCUCCAGGACCUGGAAAGCUGUGGAGCUGUGGGAAGAGGAUGCAGGUACCUCAGCAAAUCCCCUCUCAGGCCACUGCCCCUCUCCUGUGGCUCCCAGACAGCAGUGUUCUGGCCAGGCUGUGGGAGCAGAACAUCUCCAGUGUGCUCUGGUGCUGCCUGGAAAUUUCCCUGGCUCUGCAGGGACUGGGCAGCAGCUGUGGCCACGCUGAACAUUCGGCUUUUCCAGCCUGUCACUGGUAAAGCUCCGAGUUCAAACUGGCUGCUGUGCCUUGUCAGCUGAAGGAAUUGAGUGGCUUUGCUGCUCCAGCAGUGCCUGACAGCUGCCUGGCUUCUUCUGGCAGAGCCUUUGCUCUGUGUCCUUGGCAGGGCUGGGCUGUGGCGAACAGCAGCUUCUGAGCUCUUAAAAAGCACAAAUAAAUGCCUGUUUGAGGAGCA
ensembl:lncRNA